rnacentral:rRNA from 1 species
UACGGAGGGAGCUAGCGUUGUUCGGAAUUACUGGGCGUAAAGCGCACGUAGGCGGCUUUUUAAGUCAGGGGUGAAAUCCCGGGGCUCAACCACGGAACUGCCCUUGAAACUGGAGAGCUAGAAUCUUGGAGAGGCGAGUGGAAUUCCGAGUGUAGAGGUUAAAUUCGUAGAUAUUCGGAAGAACACCAGUGGUGAAGGCGACGCGCUGGACAUGUAUUGACGCUGAGGUGAGAAAGCGUGGGGAGCAAACAGG